rnacentral:rRNA from 1 species
AACCCACUGCACUGAAGCAUCUCAAUAAGUGGAGGAAAAUAAACUAACUAGGAUACUCUUAGUAAGUGCGACCGAAGAGAGUAAAGCUCAAUAAUCUAAACUUUAAAUUUUUAUAAUUUAAAGUCAUGUGAUUUUCUAAACUCAUUGAAAUUUUUAUAAAUUAUGAUUGAAUUCAUAACUAUAAAGAGUUAUAGUCUCGUUAUUUAAAAUUUCAAGCAUGGGAAUUAGAAUUAAAGAGUCGGGUAGCUUGAGAAUGCUGCCUUAAUAUAGGUGGUACACCCCAUCUAAAGCUAAAUAUUGUAAAGAGACCGAUAGCAUACAAGUAGUGUGAACGAAAGAUGAAAAGAACUCCUAAACGGAGAAUUAAAAGCGCCUGAACUUGUCUAGGUUUUCGCAUUUCUUUAAUGCGCCCGUCUUGAAACACGGAUUAGGGAGUUUUACUUAAAUACGAGUCUUUAACUUUUAAAGUAAUUUUUUUAAAAAAGGCGAAAAGAAAUUAACUGGUUUUUUUAACAUGGCUAUAGAGUAUUUAAGUCAAAACCCGAAUGGAGGUGAACUAUUCCUGCAAAGAUUGAAGUCAGGGGAAACUCUGAUGGAAGAUCGUUGGCGUUAUUGAUGUGCAAAUCAUUUGCUUUAUGUAGGUAUAGGUGCGAAAGACUCAUCGAACCUCCUAAUAGCUGGUUUCCUCCGAAGUUUCCCUCAGGAUAGCUGUAACAUUUUUAAAUAGUUAAGGAUAGUAGAGAAAUGGGUAGAGGUGUAGUGGAACUACGGUUCUGCAACUUAUUUCCAAACUUCGAACGUUCUUGAUAUAAAAAAUUACCUAAUAGGAAUUUUUUAUUUAAAUAUAUGUUAUAAGUGGGCUCUGACCGGUAAGCGGUCAUGGCGAAAAGGGAUGAACCUAACGUAUAAAUAAGGUGCCUAAAUUUACUAACAAUGAAACCAUUAAAAGAGUCCAUGUAUUUAGACAGCGGGUCGGUGCCCCUAAAAGCAGGUAUCCGUUAAUGAGUGUGUUAAAACUCCCCCGCCGAAUACUCUGGCCUUGAAAAUGAAUGGCGCAUAUAGUAAUACCGAUAUUAUACAUUAAAAUUAUUUAAAAAUUUUAAAAGUAGGGGGAUGUGGAUAUCUUAGAGAAUUUUUAAUUGUAAAAUUGAAUUGAAAGAUAUCUAUUACAGAUCCUAAUUGAAGUAGCGAUUAUCCAGGUUAAUCUCCUGGGGGCUGAUGAGGAGUAGGGUUUCUGGGCAACUUAAACGGACCCAGAGUUAGUCGAUCCUAAUCAAAUUAAAUUUAGAGAAAGGGAAUAUGAAUGAUAUUUCAUAACUAAAAUUAAUUUUUAAAUGGUGACAUUUUUUUAAACUUAUUUCCAUCAAUUAAAUACUGUUUAAUAGGGAUUUCUUUCCUAUAUAACUUUUUAAUUAAAACUUAAGAAACAGGUUAACUGGAGAAUAAAGUUUUAAUUUAGUAAAAUUAUAAUUUCGAUUAUAAUAACGGCUAUUUAAAUGAUCCAUGAAACAAUAAGUUUAUUUUUUCAAAAAUUAAUUUAAUCGUACCGAUAACCGCAUCAGGUCUCCAAGGUGAGUAGCUUCUGGCCAUUGAGUAAUGGUAAUUUAGGGAAUUCGGCCAAUUAGAGCUGUAACUUCGGGAUAAAGCUUGGCUCUGAUGGAAAUCAGAACCGAUAGUUACAAGGAGAGCCCAACUGUUUAAUAAAAACUUAGUGUCGCGUCAUACCUUUAUAAGUAAUAAACGUGACAUGAAUCCUGCUCAGUGCUGUGUUUGUUAAACUGGAUUAAUCCAUUUAAGCGCCGGUAAAUAGCUGGGGUAACUAUGACUCUUAUCAAAGUAGCGAAAUACCUCGUCACUUAAUUAGUGACCUGCAUGAACGGAGCUAUGAGGUUCUCACUGUCCCAAAUUAUCACUCAGCGAACCAACAGUUGUGGGAACGGGCACAAAUUAUCCAGCGGGGAAAGAAGACCCUGUAGAGCUUCACUUUGGUCUAAUCUUGUAUAGUUUCGUUAGGGGUGCAGUCUAGGUGGGAGAUUUUUAAUCAAAUAUGAGAAACCACUACCCUUUCUGGAAUUAUACUUACUAAAAUUCUUUUCUAAAUUUUAGGAUCGGAUUAGAUAGAAAGUUUGGCUGGGGCGGCACACCUUCGAAAAAGCAGCGAAGGUGUCCUAAGUUAAGCUCAGUAAGGACAGAAAUCUUACGUUGAGGAUAAGGCCAAAAGCUUAAUUUACUGUGCCUUUUUGUACUAGGAUCAGUUUG